AUUGAACGCUGGCGGCAUGCCUUACACAUGCAAGUCGAACGGCAGCGCGGGGCAACCUGGCGGCGAGUGGCGAACGGGUGAGUAAUAUAUCGGAACAUACCCUAGAGUGGGGGAUAACGUAGCGAAAGUUACGCUAAUACCGCAUACGCACUAAGGUGGAAAGUGGGGGAUCUUCGGACCUCAUGCUCAUGGAGUGGCCGAUAUCUGAUUAGCUAGUUGGUGAGGUAAAGGCUCACCAAGGCGACGAUCAGUAGCUGGUUUGAGAGAACGACCAGCCACACUGGAACUGAGACACGGUCCAGACUCCUACGGGAGGCAGCAGUGGGGAAUUUUGGACAAUGGGGGGCAACCCUGAUCCAGCAAUGCCGCGUGAGUGAAGAAGGCCUCGGGUUGUAAAGG
rnacentral:rRNA from 1 species